rnacentral:sRNA from 1 species
GUUUGUGUGUUUGUGUGUUGCAGUGGAAGAAGAAGCGUAUGAGGAGAUUGAAGAGGAAGAGACGAAAGAUGAGACAGCGAUCUAAGUAGAUUCGGGAGUUUGUUUUGUCUUUCUUCUUUUU